CUCUGGUGGCAUAUUACUCAGCCAGCUUGCCCCAUUUGUUCAUCGAUAAUUUAACAAAUGCGUCUUGAUGCGCCUCCUAUCUACCUGGCACGGCAGCUAGCUAGUGCUGUACUUACAAAAGCAGUUAAGACAGUUCUUGCAAGCCUCCGGGACUUCAGGUUCCAGCUGGACACAGAGUUUCAGUUCAAGAUGGCGGGUUGAGCUCGAACCUUUGUCUUCCUUCUCUUCUUCCCCAAGCCCUGUUGCAAUUACAGUAAAAAAGGACCAAGAUGGAUCACCCAUAACAGCGAGUAGGAUAAGGUCAACGUAUGCUGGACGGAGUAAGAGUCGUACAGAAGUUAAAUAUAGAGUAGUCCAAUGUUAUCUACUUCUCGUGGCCUGUCCUUGGAGAGGACUAUUCCAGGGAAGCGGAGGCAGAACCAACGGGAAUCAGAUUGACUCAAGUCGUUCUCAAUUAUCAACAAACCAAGAUUGGGCAAGAAACCACAUGGCUUCCUUGGCUGUGGAAGUGGCUGCUCAGACUCCCUUCUAGGAGGGACCUGCUGUGGCAUGUGGUCAGCGGUCGGCCUCCAGUGCCAUCUCCUUCAGGGUUGGCCUCAACCUGAGGCCGCCCCCUUCUGGGGACACCUGCAUCCAAUGACAGAGUCGGGAUACCAGGGAGAAAGGACUUGCCAUUUCUGCCCCACACAGGAGCUCCCCGAGCCUCUGCUGGGCUGCACAGCACUCCACUCCCUCUGUCCCUUCCUCCCCAUCCCCACCCUCUGCAAAUGCUGACCCUAACAAGCAUUUUGCUCCCCAAACUCGGUCUUAACGUCAACCUCCAGAAAAUAACAUCCACUAGCACUGCGGUAAAAGCAGUUGGCAUUUCCUCCACGUUCACCAGCUCCAGCUGGAGAGGGAGGAGUC